CACCAGCGCCACGAGUGGUUAUCACGAUUAUUGGGCCUAAAGCGUUCGUAGCCGGUUUGGUAAAUCUCUUGUGAAAUUGUUCGGCUUAACCGGACAGCGUGCAGGAGACACUGCCAAACUCGAGACCGGGAGGGGUCAGAAGUAUUCCGUGGGGACCGGUAAAAUGGGAUAAUCCACGGAGGACUACCGAUGGCGAAGGCAUCUGACCAGAACGGAUCUGACGGUGAGGAACGAAAGCCAGGGGAGCGAACCGG
rnacentral:rRNA from 1 species